AGGUUGUGUGUGUGUCUGUGUCUGUGUGCGUCUGUGUGUCUGCAUGUGUGCGUGUGUGUGUGUGUGUGUGUGUCUGCACGUAUGUGUGUGUCUGUGUGUCUGCGUGUGUGUGUAUCUGUGUGUGUGUGUGUGUGUCUGUGUGUCUGUGUGUGUGUAUGUUCUGUGUCUGUGUGCGUGUGUGUGUCUGCGUGUGUGUGUCUGUGUCUGUGUGUGUCUGUGUCUGUGUAUGUGAGAGUCUAUGUGUAUCUAGCUGUACGUGUGUGUUUGUGAGUGAGUGUGUGUGUAUCAAUAUGUAUGUGUCUAUAUGCAAAUGUGUCUGUGUCUGUGUGUCGGCUUGUUUUUGUGAGUGUGAGCAAGUAAGUGAGAGUGAGUGUGUGGUUGUGUAUGUGUAUGUGUUUGUAUUUGUCUGUGCAUUUGUGAGUGUGUGUGCGCCUGUGUUUGUGAGUUUGAGUAUGAGUGAGUGAGUAUGCGUUUGUGUCAGUGUGUAUGUGGAUGUGUAUGUGUUUGUGUCUGUUUUGUGUUUGUGAGUGUGUGAGUGUGUGUAUGUGAGUGUUUGUGAGUGAGUGUGAGCGAGUGACUGAAUGUGUGUGAAUCUGUCUGUGUUUGUGAGAAUAAGUGAGUAAGUGUGUGUGUGUGUCUGUCUGCCUGUGUUUGUGAGUAUACAUGAGUGAGUGUGUGUGUGUGUGUGUGUGUGUGUGUGUGUGUGUGUGUGUGUGUGUGUGCGCGUCUGUGAAUGUGAGAUUGUGUGCAGGAGAAAGAGAGGGUUGAAGGUGAGAUAGUCUCCAGUAGAUGUUAAAUACAUGAUUAAUGAUCAACUAAUCCUAAGAAAGUCUGCUGAUGACAAAUUACAGGAGCAAUACUAGAAUUUCAAGGAUGUGUUUCAACAAAGGAGACUGGUGAAGUGGCUGAUGGCUUUCCCAGUUUUGUCUGGAAGAUUCCUCAGGGAUUUGAUAAGGAUCGAACAUAAUGGAAGAAUGUUCCCAGCCUCUGGCUAGGUGUGUGGGGUGAUGGUGAAACAUUGUGGAAAACAUGCUACGUUGCCUGGGCCAGGAAUUUUGACAACCCACCGGACAGUCAUUGAGCCAAUUCUGAGGCCAAAUCAUGGCCACAUUCCCACCCGCUAAGGACAUAAAACCAGACAAUUCAGUCUGUUGACUCUGUUCCGCGAUUCAGUGAGAUCAUGGCAGAUCUAACAAUCUUCAACUCUGCAUUCUUGCCAUUUCCCAAGAAACACUGCUGCAGGGCAGUGAGGAAAGGAUGUUGCCUGCAUGGAUAGACUGAAACCUGGCAACCACCCAGGAGGAUGCUGAAUGCCCCCUACAUCUGACCAGUCUGCAACCUGUAAAAGCAUCCAUCACUCCUACAGCAGAGGAUCAUGCAUUGCAAUACCCCAAUCAUGGUCACUGGUCCUAACCUGUCAGCCCCUGACAUUCCCAGAUCACUGAUGGGGCAAGGUGUGAUUUCCACAUGGACCGAGAUGUACUGCAUGACUCUACUUGUUAGAACAUUAACUGAUUUAACAGAAAUAAAUCUAGAACUCAGUAUUAACAAACAGCAG